rnacentral:rRNA from 1 species
GACGAACGCUGGCGGCGUGCUUAACACAUGCAAGUCGAACGGAAAGGCCCUGCUUUUGUGGGGUGCUCGAGUGGCGAACGGGUGAGUAACACGUGAGUAACCUGCCCUUGACUUUGGGAUAACUUCAGGAAACUGGGGCUAAUACCGGAUAGGAGCUCCUGCUGCAUGUUGGGGGUUGGAAAGUUUCGGCGGUUGGGGAUGGACUCGCGGCUUAUCAGCUUGUUGGUGGGGUAGUGGCUUACCAAGGCUUUGACGGGUAGCCGGACUGAGAGGGUGACCGGCCACAGUGGGACUGAGAUACGGCCCGGACUGCUACGGGAGGCAGCAGUGGGGAAUAUUGCACGAUGGGCGGAAGCCUGAUGCAGCAACGCCGCGUGCGGGAUGACGGCCUUCGGGUUGUAAACCGCUUUCGCCUGUGACGAAGCGUGAGUGACGGUAAUGGGUAAAGAAGCACCGGCUAACUACGUG